CAUUCAUUUAUUCAUUUAUUCAAUGCACAUCUACUAGGCAAUGGGAACAUAAGAUGACUAACCUGGAUCCACCACAGGCCUCAAGAGCUCAUAGUCCAGACAGCAGAGAACUGCCUCACCUAGGAGGACUGUUCAUCCACAUCUCCAUCACAUCGAUAGCCACAUCUCUCCACAAAGACGGUGUGCUGAAGGACAGGGGUCACAAGGUCAUUGUCACCGUGGAGAGGCUGAGGGCUGCUGUGGACAGGGCAAGGGUGACUGAAGGACCGGUGACCAAUGGGAGUGGAGGCCGAGCAAGAGGAUCACAGGGCCCCCCAGGGCCGGGGGACAGGGUGGACAACAUGCUGUGACAGCCGUCGGGAGGAU
rnacentral:lncRNA from 1 species